rnacentral:rRNA from 1 species
UACAGAGGUCCCAAGCGUUGUUCGGAUUCACUGGGCGUAAAGGGUGCGUAGGCGGUCGGGUAAGUCUGAUGUGAAAUCUCACAGCUUAACUGUGAAACUGCAUUGGAUACUAUUCGGCUUGAGAGUUGGAGGGGGGACUGGAAUUCUUGGUGUAGCAGUGAAAUGCGUAGAUAUCAAGAGGAACACCAGUGGCGAAGGCGAGUCCCUGGACAGGUCCUGACGCUGAGGCACGAAAGCUAGGGGAGCAAACAGG